rnacentral:lncRNA from 1 species
GUUUAGGGAGAGAAGUGUUUAGGACAGCUAGUUCGUGCCCACACGGUGUCAGUGGUGGUCCUCGCCAAAUGGGGUUUGAUUAGAAGGACCAGUGUCCAGUCCAUAAGGGAUGUGACCAUUUCUCUCACUUUUUGUUCUUUUGAUCAUAUGAGGAAAUUCCUUUUCAAAUAAUGAAAACAAAAACUUGAACUUAAAGAAUGUUUGUUUACAUUUACAACGAAGGUUUUUGUGUGUUCGACAAUGUUAGACUAAAUCAAGAGAUUAAAUGGGUUUAAGAGUAUAUCUCGUACAGAAUGUUCCUAUUUCAUAAUUGUCCAGUAAUCCUCCAUAUGAAAUGAACUCUUCUAUUCUUCUGUAUAUAUCGACCAGCUGUCUGAUUUUGAAAUAAUUCUAUAAUC